rnacentral:lncRNA from 1 species
UUAUCUCGAUGUAUUUCGUCCUUUGGUGUGAUAUUGGAUUUUUUGUGAUUGUAGUUGUUGAAGUACUGUUUGUGAAGAUUACUAGUGUCAUCGUGUUGAUCUUCACCUCUUUGAGUAAGUUUGUUAACCAUGUUACUUCGCAUGAUGUGUACGUCAGUGCUCGGUACUCUACCUCUGUAGAUGACCGUGCUACUGUGUGUUGUUUCCUUGUCUGCCAUGAUAUAAUGUUUCCAUGUAGGUAUAUGGCAAAUCCAAUGGUGGAUCUUCGUGUAAUUGGGCAGGAGGCCCAGUCAGAGUCAGAGAAUGCUUCGAUCCCAAAAGUUAUCGAUCCUGAGAAAAACAAAUCAGAGCUUGGUGAGUGUUUAAUAUAUCUCAAUAUUUUGCUUACCAUCUUUGCAUCUGUUUCAUUUGGAUUUUUUCUGUGUUGGCUCAAACAGUUGACUACAUGUGUGAUGUUUGGUCUGGUUACUGUUAGGUAAACCAGUUUUCCGAUGGUCCUUCUGUAUUCAGUUGGAUCGUUCAGUAGUUUUUCUUUUGUUGUUCCUGUUUGAUCAGAAUGCUUGCAUGAUGGAUUAGUUGAUGGUUUUACAUCUGUGUAAUUUUUAUUUUUUAAGAUUUCAAAUGCAUAUUUUCUUUGGCUCGUGAAUGUACUUUUUUGUAUGUUUGAAAAUUUUAUUCCUAAGAAGUAUUUUAGCUUGCGAAGAUCUUUUAUGUUGAAAUGCUUAGCUAAGUCCUUUAAUUGCAUGAUGUUUUGUAAGUUAUUACCAGUGAAUAAUAAAUCAUCCACAUAUGCAAGGAUGAAUAUUGUCUUGUGUUCUUCUAGUCUACUGAAUAAUGCAUAAUCUACUUUGGUCUGUUUAAAACUUAAUUUUGUAAGUAUCUGAUGUAGUUUGUUAAAUCACUUUUUUAAUAUUUGGUGUUGCUAGUUUUAGGUCUUAAAGUAUAUUCAUGUAUGCCUCUUUAUUUAAUUCUCCAUGUAAGAAGACAUUUUGUACAUCCAUUUGAUGUAAAUGUCAUUUUUUAUUUGAAGCAAUGGAGUUGCCAUACUUGAUACAGGUGCAAAGGUAUCUGUGUAAUCGAUACCUUCAAUUUGGUUGUAACUUUUGGAAAUUAGUCUUUCUUUGUAUUUAUCUAGUGAUCCGUCUGUCUUUAAUUUUGUUUUGUACACUCAUUUGUAUCCUAUUAUUUUUGUUUUUUGUGGGACUUGUAUUAUGUCCUAUGUUUUAUUUUGUUUGAGUACAAUGAUUUCUAAUUUCAUUGUCUCUUGCCACUGAGGAAUUUUGCAUGCUUGUGUAUAGCUUUGUGGAUCCUUGUGUUUCAUUAUUUUGACUAGGAAUGUUUUGUGUUUUUUUCGAAAAAUUAUUGUAUGAUACAUAUUUUUCAAUUGGGUACCUAGUUGUUUUGAUGCAUAUGUAAUCAUUAUAUUUCUUUGGCACUUGUUUUUCUCGUAUAUGUCUAGUGUUUCAAUGUCUGUGUCGAUUUAUUUUGAUUGUAUAUCCUCUUCUUGUUGUGUAUUUUCAGGUAUCUCCUCUUCUUGUUGUGUAUUUUCAGGUAUCUCCUCUUCUUGUUGUAUUGUUUCCUUAGUUUCAUGAUCUGGUUCUUCUAUAUAUGAUGAAUGGGUCCCUUUAGUUGAUUUUGUCUGUUCUUUAAAGGGGAAGAUUAAUUGUUUCAUAGAAUACUAUAUCCCUGUAUCCUAAACCUAUAAAGGAGACCCAGUUUAUAGUCUAGGGAAGAAAUCAGUCCCCCUUUACCCUAACCCAAGUCAACCUCUCAUCGUUACAAUUCGAAUACAUGUUCCAAUAUCGUAAAGAUCACGACCUUUAGAGGUCGCCACACCCACCGAACGAGGGGUGGUAUAAUAAUGGAUCCAUCGUGGACCUCCACUACUCUCGAUUUACUUCUUCAAGGACUUAAGAAGAAACAUAUUUGGAUGAAGAAAAUACAGAGAAACGAAACUUCCAUUCAUAAGAAUGAGAGAACCUUUGAGAAGAUAGAUGGCCACAUGGUACGCCAUAAAGAAAGACCCAUGAGGAGACAAAGACAUGUGACUAGUUGGAGAGGAGUUUUCAUGAAGGUCCUCCGUUUAAAGGAGGACUACUGAUGAUACCAUCUUUACUGGGCUAAACCCAUUUGGGACUAUCCCACAACCUGGGUUGGAAUAUUAGAUCUCAAAGUAUGUAUAUCUAUAUUCAAAAUCUGCAAUAUAUGAUGAAAAAAUCGAUGCAAAGGUGAAAUAUCAAAUGGAAGCUUGGUGUGUUGAAUUUUUGUAUUUCACUCUACAUUCACCACAUCUUCACUAAGUUUCUCUCUCUCCAAUCCACUGAAACCUAGUAAUGGUUGGCCUAGUAAUCAUAGUUACUUCUCCAGUGUGAAUUUGUUCAGUGCUCACUAGUGAAGUAGGUUCCAACUGCGGGUAACCUCGGGAAAAUCGACACUCGAAAAGCUAGGGGGUUAAAAAGCCAGCAAAAGCUCCUACACAUCCACGAUCAAAAAUUUCUGGCCUACUAAUGAAUCCCCCAUAGUAGGAAUGGUCAGCGGAACUAGGAUUGACUUUCUAUGCCGUCAUUGGAAGUUGCGUACAUUCCAAUGGGAGCUUUAAAUGUGACUUGAAAAGUUCAACAUUGCUCAUACGUAUGAGAGUAACUUGUAAGACAUAUUGUGAAAGUGAAUAAGGUUGAUAAAAUGGGUUGGGGAGAAUUGACCGCAGAUCGAGCUCCAACGAUCAUCGUUAGGGACAACUAUUGAAGAUACUCUCCAACCAUAAAAUCGCACUCUUCAUGCUUACCUCGUAGAUAAUACCCUACAUCUCUUUGUAGGAGUUCUCUUUCCUGUAAAGGAAGUGAAGAUCCUUGGGGACCGGACCCAUCACCGAUCUUCAACGUUUAGUGACAUUACGACCAUUGAGAAUGAGGGAGAUCCAGACAAGGAGGGAACAAAGGUUUCCAAUUGACGGGAGCAAGGCUGGACGAGUGGGUCUGGUCGGGACGCAUCAGACUAGAGAAAAAUCUUGAGAAGAUGUCAUUGAGGGACACAGACAGAUGACCACGAGUGAUUCUGACAAGGCAAGAUAGAUCAAUUAAUGAGUGUGAAUUGAAGAAUGUAAAUGGAUUUUCCUGAAAAUUGCUUGAAGGAAAACAAAUAAAAGAGAAAUCAAUGACAGUGUAUGGAAUGUUAAGUCAUUGGUGAACAUUCAACAACUGAGUUCACACACCUUCAACUUUGGGCUUAAAAAUUUGAAGAAUUAUGAGCACCCUUUCAUUUGCAAGUAAGCAGAGGCAGAUGAAGAGGUCGUAAACAAGGAAAAGAGAAGAGAAGAUAGAUUGAAAGGAGGUCGUAAACAAGUAAGCAGAGACAGAUUGAGGAUUUGGAUGAUAAAAAAGGAGACACGCCAGACAGUGAUAACGAGGAGGUUGAGAUUUCAAUUGAAAAUGUAAGGGUCUUACUUAAGAAAGCACCAUGAAGACAUAGGGCCUUCUCUAUUUGAUCUAAAUAAAUGAAUGAGCUCAAUGGGAUUGACAGUAACUAAUAGAAUAGCCCGAACUUUCAUUAGGCCAUUGAUUGGCAACAAAAGAUGAAGAAAGCUAGAGAAGAGGAAUCUCAUUCUAUGGAAAAACUCAUGAAGUCAAAAGGAAGAUUACUGAGUCAACCUCCAGAGGAGAUGAUUCCACCCGAAUUGUGAUACAGAGCCAAUCCUAGAGAAAAUCACGAUGAAAUCCAGAUAACAAAAAAAGGGUCAAAGGAAAAAAGAUGGCAGAAACAAAUACAAAAUCCAACCACCACGAUGACGCUAAUGGCGUGGAAUGUGUGUGGGAUGAACAAGGACGCCAAAAUCAAUUGGAUACAAUUUUAUAUGGGAUGGCCGAAAGGGAUCUAGUUGGGAUGAAGUGAUACUGACCAAGGAAGGAGGAUGUCUAUACAUCAAGGAGGAUAAACACCUUUAUUUUGCUUAAAGGCCAUUGUAUUAAGCUAAAAAUAAAGUUUACACAAACAAUAAUUAAAGCCUAAGAGGAAAAAUCAAGCAAAAGAAAAUGGUGAUGAUCGAAGCCGGUGUAGUUGCCUACUAUGUCGAGUAGAUGAGGGUGAUACUCCUGACUGUGACCCGUGUCCAUAGCGUCAUCGCAUCUUGAAAGUUAAAGUCCUGAAGAUGAUGUCUCUCGCUUCAAGUUACCAACAGCAUGCCGCAAGAGCCAAUCUCUCUACUCAUAUUCGUCUUCCUCAAAAACUCUGAUCUAUAACUCGACCUCUCUCUUCAACAAUCACACAUUAUAUCUGUGGGUAGGAAGUCCACUACGACGAGGAGAAAUUGGAAGGGGUGAGACGCACGUUCGUCGAUUAAAAUCCAAGUGGGAGAGAACAAAUGGCGACAAAAACAUCGAGAACGACAUAUCUUUUUUUUUUUGAAAAGUUAAAACUUUCAUUACUGAAAAAGAGGUUGGGCAUAGCCCAAGAUUACAGAAUAUAAGAAAAUGCAAGUACAGUAAAUGUAAAAAUAUUGUCCAUCUCUUAUACAACUAUGACCCUGAUUAACUGGUCAAGGACUAAGGCCUCAAGAGGUUGGACUCCCAUGAGUGUAUAGCUUGUAUUUCAAUCUGUGAAAGAUUAUGCUUCAUAGAGGAUGUAAAAUCAUAAGCAAUGCGCACAUCCUUUAUAAAUGAGGACGACAGAUCAUGCAAGGAGAGGAGCAUAUAGGGGAAAAAAAAGACAGAGGAAGAGGAGAAUCAAGGAGGAAGGUAGGGUGAAGAAAUGAGGGGAAAAGAAGGGAAGAAGAAAUCGUUGCCUCCCUCUCUCAGAGGGGGAGAUGAGUUUCUUUUUCCUAAAUCUAGGAUUUCUCAGAGGUGGGAGAGACAAGAAGGAUCCGAGCCACUUUAAAUGAAAUAGAAAAAAAGAAACUAACACUCUCUCCUACAAUAGAAAGAUUCUACCAACAAGAGAAGAGAUCAAAAAUUAACACUCUGAUGGGAAUAACCAUAGAAAUUAUCGCAUAUAGAGGAAAAUAUAUAUAGUGAUUGUCAUAUCGCAUUUCUUUACGAACCGACACAUGCUAAAGUCCCUCAAUCGCACUUUGCUAACUCUAAUACAAAAAUAAGAAGCACCAACAACACUUGCGGAUUAUUGACCAACGGAGCAUGUGUUUCGAUAGACUUUGCCAAAGCAUUUGAUAUCCCUUCUUAUAUGGCCAAAGCAUUUGAUAAUUAGAUGGGCAAAUCGAAGCCUUCUUAUAAUCUUAUACAUGGGAAGAAUCCAACUUGUUAUCCAAAGAAUGAACAUCCAAAGAAAAGGUGGGAUGGGAGUUAGAGAAUUCAAAUCAACACAAAUAAAUGAUUGGAUGAACGGAAGGUAUAUCAAAAAUUCUUCAUUACAUGCCAUAAACCAAAGAUAGAGCUAUCCUAGGAUAGCAGCAAGUAAUUGAAAAAUGCGCAAAUUGCAAUGCAAAAGAGUCUAACUUUGAAAGGAAGCGGACAUAGCCUUCAAUAAAAAAACAUAGCAAAAAUGGUACUUCUAGAAAGAGAUAUCCGAAAUUCGUAUUCGUUUAGGCAUACGAAUUUGGAUACCCCUAAACGAAUUCGAAUAAGUAUAUAAAUAUAAAAUAAUUUUAAAAUUUUUAUAAUUCGAUUUAAUAUUUAUAUGUUAAAUUAUGCUGGAUUUAUUUUUUGUAUUUAUUUGUAAAUGAUUUUUAAACCGAAUUAUCCGAAUUAUGAUAUUUUAGUCGAAUACAAAAUUUGAAAUUCGAAUAAUAAUCAAAUGAAUUCGAAUUAUCCAGAUACUAAACGAAUUCGGAUACAAGGGUAUCCGAACCGAAUUCGUCCGAUUGACAAUCCUACAAAGGGCAAAAAAAAGGUCGACACAGAACAAAAAAAACACUAAUCAAGGAAUCCAUCGAAAUGCUCGAAAUAAAAUUCAAGGAGCAAAAAUUCACAUCAUCACCAUUGCAAAAUGCAAGUGUUGCGACAAUAUUUCAUUUAGACAUCGUUGUUCAGAGAAUUAAAAAUAAGUGUAAAAAUUAAUGAUUCAAAAAUCAAAUUUAGAGAUCUGAAAUUAAAAACAUUAAAAAUUAAAUCAGAGUAUUACAAAUCAGAAUAUUAAAAAUGAAAUCAGAAAUCUUAAAUUACGAUAAAUAAAGAUUUUAUAUUCAGUGUGUUAAAAAUUAAAUCAGAGUAUUAUUGACAAUAAAAUCAGAUGUCAAUCUGGAACGCAGAGCAUUAAAAAUAAAAUCAGAGUAUUAUAAAUUAGGGUAUUAAAAAUGAAAAUAAGAGAUCUUAAAUUCAUAAUGUUAAAAAUGAAAUCAAAGAUUUCAAAUUCAGAGUACGAAAAAUGAAAUCAAAGUAUUGACAAUAAAAUCAGAUGUUAAUCUGGAAUUCAGAUCAUUACAAAUUAUAUCAGAGUAUUACAAAUCAGGGUAUUAAAAUGAAAAUAAGAGAGAUUUAAAAUUCAGUGUGUUAAAAAUGAAAUCAGAGUAAUAAAAAUAAAAAUCAGAUGUUAAUCUGGAAUUCAGAGCAUUAAAAAUUAAAUUAGAGUAUUAUAAAUCAGAGUAUUAGCAAUAAAAUCAGAUGUAAUCUGGAAUUCAAAUAAUUAAAAAUUAAAUCAAAUAUUACAAAUCGAAAUAUUAAAAUUAAUGAAAAUCAGAGAUAUGAAAUUCAGAG